CACCCUAGGAAAACUAGUCAGUGAGGAUCAGGCAUAGAUACAACUGCUGCACAGUUCAGCUCUGAAGGCUUCAGCCAGAGCUGAAGUAAAGUUCCUGUGAUCAUGCAGAAGGUGCAGGUGGAGCCAGUCACAGAAAUAAAUCCUGUUAGUGCAUGCUUUAAGUGUGCAUAUUACUCCAUCCUCUGCAGCAUAUUUGCAGAGGAUGGAGUAAUAUGCUAAGUCUAGUCUGUGGAGGUAGAUGUUUUAAAUACUCUUGUUCUUUAUCUGCUAAAUAUUGUAGCAAGGGUUCGAUCAUCAUUCAGAAUCUGAAGUGGAGGAAUCUGAGGACCACACACCCAUAGUUGAAUCCCCACCAUCACUGGAUGACUUACCUGGCCUGGAAACACCAGCAUCUGCAGCCCAGCCAUCUGUAGUGGAAUUGCCACUAUCUGCAGACCAGCUGGCUGUCAAGAAGCCACCCCAUUCCGAGCACCAUUUCCAGCUCACUGUAUAGUCUGCAUCCAGGGAAAGCUCACCUGAGAUCAGAUCACCUCUGGGUGAACUUCCAGGUUUCAAAGUCAAGAUGCACACCUCUGAAUCCACACAGGAUGGCAGUAACACCGUUGAGGCUGUGUUGUCAGCAGCAGAGAUUGCAUUUGAAUCAUUGGAGAAUCCAGAGGAUUUUGGAGACCCCUAUCAAGUUGCCAUGAAUUAUGUGGAGGAACAUAAAAUUCUACAGCUAUUUCAGGAUAUCACAGAAAAACUGCUGAUCCAUAAGCCUGAUGACCCCUUGCAGUUCAUAUUGCUGGAGGUAGGGUGCCUUGCUGGGGCUCUGUGGGAACAGGGUCAGCUUUGCAGAGCACACCAGAGUCAUGGUCAGCCCAGGACUGUUUCCCUGACUGUGUGUCUGCUGUCUUGGGAGGGAGAAAAGCACAGGCAGCAGCAGAGGGCCUAGGGUGCAAGGACCAUGUGUGCUCUGAGA
rnacentral:lncRNA from 1 species